CUUGUAGUCCCUCCAUCCAAAAAUACUUGUCAUUGAAAUGGAUGUAUCUAGAUGUAUUUUAGUUCUAGACACAUCCAUUUUGAUGACAAGUAAUUCCGGACGGAGGGAGUACUUG
rnacentral:pre_miRNA from 1 species